AGGGAAUAUUGGACAAUGGGGGAAACCCUGAUCCAGCAACGCCGCGUGGAUGAUGAAGCUUUUUGGAGUGUAAAAUCCUGUCAGUGGGGACGAAACGUCCGGGUAGGAAAUGACCCGGGCCUGACUGUACCCGCAGAGGAAGUUCCGGCCAACUCCGUGCCAGCAGCCGCGGUAAUACGGGGGGAACGAGCGUUGUUCGGAUUUACUGGGCGUAAAGGGCACGCAGGCGGGGAGACAAGUCAGAUGUGAAAACCCAUAGCUUAACUCUGGGCCUGCAUUUGAUACUGUUUCUCUUGAGUACGGGAGAGGAUGGCGGAAUUCUUGGUGUAGCGGUGAAAUGCGUAGAUAUCAAGAAGAACACCGGUGGCGAAGGCGGCCAUCUGGCCCGAUACUGACGCUCAUGUGCGAAGGCAAGGGGAGCAAAC
rnacentral:rRNA from 1 species